UACGUAGGGGGGCAAGCGUUGUCCGGAUUUAUUGGGCGUAAAGAGCGUGUAGGCGGCCUUACAGGUCAGCUGUGAAAACUCGAGGCUCAACCUCGAGACGUCGGUUGAAACCGUAUGGCUAGAGUCCGGAAGAGGAGAGUGGAAUUCCCGGUGUAGCGGUGAAAUGCGCAGAUAUCGGGAAGAACACCCGUGGCGAAGGCGGCUCUCUGGGACGGUACUGACGCUGAGACGCGAAAGCGUGGGGAGCGAACAGG
rnacentral:rRNA from 1 species